UACGUAGGGGGCUAGCGUUGUCCGGAAUCAUUGGGCGUAAAGCGCGUGUAGGCGGUCCGGUAAGUCCGCUGUGAAAGUCGGGGGCUCAACCCUCGGAUGCCGGUGGAUACUGUCGGGCUUGAGUACGGAAGAGGCGAGUGGAAUUCCUGGUGUAGCGGUGAAAUGCGCAGAUAUCAGGAGGAACACCAAUUGCGAAGGCAGCACUCUGGGACGUGACUGACGCUGAGACGCGAAAGCGUGGGGAGCAAACAGG
rnacentral:rRNA from 1 species